UACGGAGGGUGCAAGCAUUAAUCGGAUUUAUUGGGCGUAAAGGGCGCGUAGGCGGAUACAUAAGUCAGGUGUGAAAUUUCGGGGCUCAACCCCGAAGCUGCAUUUGAAACUGUGUGUCUUGAGGGUAGGCGGAGAAAAUGGAAUUCCACAUGUAGCGGUGAAAUGCGUAGAUAUCAGGAGGAACACCAGUGGCGAAGGCGGCUUUCUGGACGGGUACUGACGCUGAGGAGCGAAAGCUAGGGGAGCAAACAGGAUUAGAUACCCCGGUAGUCC
rnacentral:rRNA from 1 species